rnacentral:tRNA from 1 species
GGGUGAUUAGCUCAGUUGGCUAGAGCAUCUGGUUUACACCCAGGAGGUCGGGAGUUCGAAUCUCUCAUCACCCACCA